UACGUAGGGGCCUAGCGUUGUCCGGAUUUAUUGGGCGUAAAGAGCUCGUAGGCGGUUCGGCAAGUCGGAUGUGAAAUCUCCACGCUUAACGUGGAGGGGCCAUUCGAAACUGCCGUGACUCGAGUCCGGUAGGGGAGUGUGGAAUUCCCGGUGUAGCGGUGAAAUGCGCAGAUAUCGGGAGGAACACCGGUGGCGAAGGCGGUUCUCUGGGCCUUACCUGACGCUGAGGAGCGAAAGCGUGGGGAGCGAACAGG
rnacentral:rRNA from 1 species